AGUGUGUUUCAGGUGAUAUGCAGGGUUAGUUUUCCACUACAUCGUUUUAGCUUAAAAUGCUAAUUUUGGACUCAUCUAAACUAAGCACUCUCUUCCACAUGUUUGCCGUCUCCCCUUACGUGGUUUGUGGUUAUUCAGCAGACAUCUUUGAUUUUUUUCAACAGCAGCUUCUUUCUUGCUAUUCUUCUAUGAGGUUCAAAUUUGUGAAAUGCCAACUAAAAGUUAUCCUGUGUUUCAGCCUCACCUGUGCCCACACAGACAGACAUACACACAUUUCCCACCUUUCUUUACUAAACCCCCUCCGUGCUCCUACUCCUCUACAUGUCAGUCAUUCUUUGGUCCCUGGUGCAUAGAAGACCUCAGACUUGUCAGACCUCCAGCAGUCCCUCAAAGAAAUACCCCUCCUGCUGUAACACCCGCCAUUCCUCUUAACCCCACCAAACAAAAAUAAAGUCACAGUGAAGACAGGGCAGCCAGGACUUUACAGAUAGGGCUCCUGCUUGGUAGAUCAGUCAAUGGAUACCUGAUUGUCACUUGUGAGGUUGGUCCCUUAAUCCUAUUGUUUCUCUGACAGGAUUACUCUUUGUGGUCCCUCUCUCCCUGUGGCUGCACGCAGGAGAAAGGGCAGAUUAAGGGGAUUAGCAUGUAUCCUCCUGAUUUGCCCUGAUAGGAUGUGAGGAACCAUUGACUUUCUUGGAGGACCAUGAAUGCAGAGAGGCAAAAGGUUCAAAGGGGCCAGCCAAGCUCUGUGGAUAAUAAGCAUCCAAAGGUGAUGGACAGGCAGGUGAAAGGCGCCUAUUCAUCAGAAUCACUGCAGCUUUCUUAGGAGCAACUAAAACUACUGAACAGAAUAUCAUUGUGCAGGCAUUUAGUUUUAUGCAUUUUCUUAAUAUGUCAGAUAUCACAGGUUGGUGGAACAGCCAAAAGAUGCAUAGUACCCAUGCAAGAAAUGACUCAAGUAAAAGGACAGAGGUAUUUGGUAAAACGCCUAUUCGAGUAAUGAGUUCACUGUAAACACAACAUUUGAUUCAAUAUUUUCAGACAGACCCAAACCUAAAAUUGUGUGCAAAUCCUGGUAUUUUGGGAACUGAAAAAGAAGUGGGAAUUAACAACACAUUUACAAAACAACAAAUUCAAUCAAGAGAAACACUUUCCAAAAUUUCUUUUUGUUAUAAAACCUACAAAAUUAAUUUAUAAUCUUUACUGUUAGCAAUAUAUAGAUAAAUAUACAUAAUAACAUUGUAAAAUACUUCUAGUAAUGAUAUCUACUAUAUUAAUGUUUACUGUAUUUUCAAAUGACUUCCAAGCGGCACAACAGGCUCAGCUGAUAGAAAAUAACAAUAGAAUAACAAAGAACAAACUAGACAAAACUGUAGCAGGUCUGUCAUUUAUGGUAAAAUUUGUUUGUUCUUUAUUUGAUGAAGUUACUCACAGUGGGCAGAGUAUCCAGAAAUUUUACUCAAGAAAAAGCAGUGAUACUUCAUAACUCGAGUACAAGUAAAAAGUAAAGUGUAGUAAAGCUACUCCUAAAAGUUAAUCUUUUUCCAAAAAGUUACUGGAGUAAAUGCAAAUAAGUAAAGAUAACUAAUAAAUGUGAAAAUACAUAAGAGGGUUUUAACAGUUUCUUGCACACUCCAAAAGUCGCCUGAAUCACUGUCACCAUGACAAGGUGAACACCCAGGUACUUCUACUCCUCCGCAAUCUGAAUGUUCAAGUCCUGGACGUUCGCUGGUGAUGUCUGUACAGACUUGAUGCUAAAGUCAAUCACCAUCUCCUCUGUCUUAGUGGUGUUGAUGUGAAGGUUGUUGGGCUCACACCAGGUAACAAAGUUGUCAAUGAUCUCCUUGUACUUCAGGUCAUUCCAAUCCGAUCGAUAGCCUACGAUCGAUGGCUGUAUCAUCUGAGAACUUCUGAACAUAGCAGUAGUCCGAGUUAUGUUUAAAAUAUGAGGUGUAGAGAAAGAAAAGGAAAGGGGAGAGAACUGUUGCCUGACUGCAUACUACCGGAUCGGACAUACAGUCAGGAAUCCUCACAUGCUGUGCUCUGCUGGUGAGGUAAUCAACGGUCCAGGCAGUGAGCUGACAGUCCACAUCAGCUGUGUUGUGUUCAACACAGUUGUGUUCAACUGUUUUGUUUAUAAUCAAGUAAAAUAUGACAAAAA